rnacentral:rRNA from 1 species
AGCAGUCGCCACGGUAAUACGUAGGUCCCGAGCGUUGUCCGGAUUUAUUGGGCGUAAAGCGAGCGCAGGCGGUUAGAUAAGUCUGAAGUUAAAGGCUGUGGCUUAACCAUAGUACGCUUUGGAAACUGUUUAACUUGAGUGCAAGAGGGGAGAGUGGAAUUCCAUGUGUAGCGGUGAAAUGCGUAGAUAUAUGGAGGAACACCGGUGGCGAAAGCGGCUCUCUGGCUUGUAACUGACGCUGAGGCUCGAAAGCGUGGGGAGCGAACAGGAUUAGAGACCCGUGUAGUCCCUGUCUCUUAUACA